UACGAGGGGGGCGAGCGUUGUUCGGAAUUAUUGGGCGUAAAGGGUGCGUAGGCGGUUUGGUAAGUCUUGUGUGAAAUCUACAGGCUCAACUUGUAGUCUGCACGAGAAACUGCCGGGCUUGAGUGUGGGAGAGGUGAGUGGAAUUCCUGGUGUAGCGGUGAAAUGCGUAGAUAUCAGGAGGAACACCUGUGGCGAAGGCGGUUCUCUGGGCCUAAUCUGACGCUGAGGAGCGAAAGCGUGGGGAGCAAACAGG
rnacentral:rRNA from 1 species